AGUAAUAUUUAUGUGGGAGUAUUUGGUAAUCCUAGUGAUUCAGAUGUUUUCAUUCAGCAAGUAAUUUAGUGAAUAUCUUGCUAAAGUAUAGUAGGGAAAAUAAUUCAUUGUAGAGUGUCUCUUUUACAUGGAUUUAUGAUUU
rnacentral:miRNA from 1 species